UCAGACGAUGCGUCAUGCAUAUCAAUAAGCGGAGGAAAAGAAACUAACAAGGAUUCCCUCAGUAACGGCGAGUGAAGCGGGAAGAGCUCAAAUUUGAAAUCUUGAAAGGUCACCUUUCACGAAUUGUAGUUUAAAGAAGUGUUUUCUGUUACGAUCGUAAUAUAAGUUCUUUGGAAUAGGACAUCACAGAGGGUGAGAAUCCCGUCUAUGAUUGCGAUUUGUAGCUUUGUGAUACACUUUCAUAGAGUCGGGUUGUUUGGGAAUACAGCCCAAAACGGGAGGUAAAUUUCUUCUAAGGCUAAAUAUUGGCGAGAGACCGAUAGCGAACAAGUACCGUGAGGGAAAGAUGAAAAGAACUUUGAAAGGAGAGUUAAAUAGUACGUGAAAUUGUCAAAAGGGAAGCGUUUAACACCAGUGUUGUUUUCUGAAAAUCAACCUCUGUUAGCUUUAUGCAUGUUUGUUUAGACCUAAUCAGCUAUCUUGCAUGUUCUAUUGUUUGCAGUGGUGCACUUUUCAGUUUACAGGUCAACAUCAGUUUUUUUUACCGUAAAAAAGUUAAAGAAAGGUAGCUCAUGGCUCCGGUCGUGAGUGUUAUAGUCUUUUUCCUAUGCGGUAGGAGAGACUGAGGUCUGCAGUGUAGGCUAUUUGGCUAGAUACUCAGGUGCUAUGUGAUACCAUUUCAUAAACAACUUGUUGAUUAUGUUUUGUCUAUUGCAUACUCGCUUGUACUAUCAUACCUACGCUUAGGAUGUUGAAGGACUCUACAGAGAUA
rnacentral:rRNA from 1 species